ensembl:lncRNA
GGGGAGGGGGGGGGGGGUGCGUGCAUGUUGUAUAGUGUCGUAUUAAGGAUGUGGAGGCACAGUAAUAUGUCCUGACGGGGUUUGGUGGCUGUUGAAUGCUCGUAUUUGCAGCUAAGUCGAGCCGUACAUGCAGAUUUCGGCGUGUUUGAGUGCCAUAGCGGGGAGACGAUUAAAUCAAAACAACCGUGGAGGUCUGACCAAGAACAAACCCGAUCCUAGUCAAAGAUGCUACCUAAACGAUCACUGUAAUAUGUCUAAACAAUGUAGAGAGAAGCUGGCUUUUGUAUGUUUUGACUGUUAAUCUGGUCCAAUAAUUCCCACGUUUAAAACAAAAAUCGCUCAUUCACUAGUAAAGCGUCCAGGAUCCGUAGAACCUCUUACUUUAAUAUUUAAUAUUGACCAUUUUGGUGCCCAAGUGCAGUUCUUCAACGGGAAGUCACUUUCCCCCACCCAUCUCGCUGACUUUCGGUUGAAUCUCAGCUCGGAUAUCGGGUCGCUUAAAAAGAAUCAGACGGAUGCAAAAUCGAGCCUCUGUUUAUCCGAGCUAUUUGUUGUGUAGCUAUUAGAGAGCAGUUAUCGUUCUGUCGAAGAAUCCACUGUCUUCUUGGAAAUGAUUAAAGUAUUGCUGGCUGAUGGCCUGAUUGAGUCUGUUACUGUCCUGAACAGACAGCGCUGAGCUGAUCUGACCAAUGGCUUUGUCUUCUGAGGGAAAUGAAUAAACCGAGGAUGGCGAUUACGUCCUAUCCCGCUGUACGGACGAACUACUGUCGACAGAGUUACGUGUCGGCGUUACAUACGUUAACACGAAAGAACAGUGGGUAAUAAUAAUAAAAAGUCUCCAUUCCCUCAGUCUUUUGAGCUACAGUCUCUUUCAUAAAUGUCACAUAAUUCUUCAUCGUGCAUGGCUGAUGCAUUAUUACGAUGCAGUGUAGUACAGCUACGAAAAACUAAAGCUUUGAAGAUUAUUGAUUCAUCUUUUGGAAUAUAUUCUGGUCAUUGAAGGCGUUAGUGCCCAGUGGUAGAACAAUUUCAACGUGUCAAGGUAGAAACUCGGUAUAUCUCCAUCUUAAAUACUAUUAUAUGAACUAUUUGCCAUGGACCGUAUGUAUGCACUCUUUUUUGUUCUUUUUUUUCUUUUCUUUUUUUUUUUGUACAGUUCCCUUUAAAUAAGAGUUUUCUUUACACAAAUUAGCCAAAUAAUGUUUUGACGGUUAUCGUCUUUUUUUUUUUUUCCCCUUCUUUUUUUUCUUUUUUCCCCCCUUGUAUGUAGUGUUAACAAAUCAAUUUGACAUUUAACCCAUGGUCUGUCUAGUGCUUCUUUUGAGAUGCUAAAUGGUGUUUUUUUUUUUUUUUUCUAUUGAGAUACCAUCAAGUUGCACAAAAUAUAAGUUGUAUUUUUAAAAUAAGUCAUUAUGAGAUGAUGAUUACCUGCCUGGUGUCUCUGCAGUGUGAUCAAGCUGAAACGGACCACAGUGGGCUUGAUUAGCUGUGCUGCUAAAUUGCCGCAGGUAGCUGAGGUAAUUAAUUAGCAGCCAUCUGAGAGCUGAAAAGGAUUGAGUGAUAUAACAGCAUUAACACUGAGGGACUGACUUUUUUUUUUUUUUUUUUUUUUUUUUUUUUUUUAAAUGUCCAGGUACUAGUUAAUAUUUCCAAUAAAGGGGGUGAAUUGUAUACAAUUAUAUGUGGUGUGGAUAUUUCAUUCAGAUCACAAAAUCACUCGGUUUGUGUGGUUAUAUUAAGUAGAAAUGGACAAUGCUGUUGCACAGAACCGAGAACAAUGUUCUCUUUGAACCAACAGCCACAGCUGCUGACGCAAGAUCGUGAUAGAUUCCCUUUGCAAGGCCGCAGUCUUUUGGGUCCUUCUCAAUAACCUGGCUCUAGCUUUUCCUUAACCUUCUGCAAACCCGUGAAUUCUCAUUCUGCCAGUGAGAUCUUUUAACAGACCUUGUGAGAUCUUUUAACAAGUUUCUGGUUCUUAAUACCUACUGCUAAUAAAGAGCUCCUCACAGGCCUCUGGAGGGAUGGUUUCUCCCUUGGAGAUCUUGUUGUAGGGCACUGCAAUCACAGGCGACUGGAGCCUGUUCUUUGGAGGGAUUGUUUCUCACUUGGA